CUUCUACCAAAAUUAUGCAAGUGAAAUAUUUGACUGAUUGAAGAAUUUUUCAUAGAAUUCUAGGUCUAAUAUAUUUUAACAAAAAGGAUGGAUGACAGAUAAUAAUAUAGACAGAUAUGGAUAGAAAGAAAUGAAAUGUUGGUAAAAAAUUAACAAGUUGAUGAAGCAGAAAUAUAAAUUAAGGCAUAGGCCAUGAUGAUGAAGAAAAAUUAGUUAUGAAAGAAGUGAGUUAAAGUGUUCAUUUUAAUUAUAAAACUUUGCAACACAUACUCCCAUCAGGUGAUCAUCUGGAUACAUCUGUGACCACCUGUCCAAAAGGUAUGCUUAUCCAGAUCCAGAAGAUGGUCUCAAAUUGGGUGGAUCUUGAUUAAUCUCCACUUCACACUAGAUGACAUGAGGCUUGAAUAGAGGAUAUAGUGGAUAAUACAAACAGAUUUGAAAAUGCUGGGAUUAUAUGCCUCAACUAAGAAGAUAAAAUUAAGGAAGACAACCAGACUUUUUAUGAAGUUACAUUCAGAGUCCAAUGAUAAAGGCACAAGGUUGAAGUUAAUUAGGAUGGGCAAAUGACAGUAGCAGUUCUGUGCCUGAACAUGAACUUCACUGAUUUGCAGAGACAGAGAGAGAGAAUUGGUUUCCAGUAGUUCCCCCAAAGAGUGAGUAACAUUCUUUGCCACAAAUCUCAAGAUUUGGUAUUUUAACUUUUCUUUUUUAUUUCUUAUUUAAAAAAUUUUAUUGACAUAUAGUUGAUUUUACAAUGUGGUGUUUUCUGUUAUAUGGAGUAGUUAUUUGGUUAUAGAUAUAUAUUUUUUCCUUAUAUAUUAAAUUCCCAGAAGAAGGAUGACUAUUGAAGAAUAUUUGCACAUUUAACUUUUAUAGAUGAGUAGACAUAAAGAUAAAUAGAUCAAUUUAUUUAUAGGUAUAUAGAAAGAGGAUAAAUGUUUGAUUCAAAAGUUUAUUAAUUUCCAGUUCUUUUGGUAUCAGUUUCUACAUUCACUUCAAGGAGAAAAAGAAAAAUUGUCUAUGUGUGUGUUCCAUAUCUUGUUUGCUAACUAAGAGAUUACCAAUUAUCUCUUGGUUAACUUUGCUAACCAAGAGUUAAAUAACUCAAUGAAAUUUUAAAUUGCAUCUAUAUUAAUAGUAAAGAUUGACAUUA
rnacentral:lncRNA from 1 species